AGACAUACAACAUCAGGAGGAGGGGGUUGAUUCCUGCUAGAGAACCCCAUUAAAGACAUACAACAUCAGGAGGACGGGGUUGAUUCCUGCUAGAGAACCCCAUUAAAGACAUACAACAUCAGGAGGACGGGGUUGAUUCCUGCUAGAGAACCCCAUUAAAGACAUACAACAUCAGGAGGAGGGGGUUGAUUCCUGCUAGAGAACCCCAUUAAAGACAUACAACAUCAGGAGGAGGGGGUUGAUUCCUGCUAGAGAACCCCAUUAAAGACAUACAACAUCAGGAGGACGGGGUUGAUUCCUGCUAGAGAAACCCAUUAAAGACAUACAACAUCAGGAGGACGGGGUUGAUUCCUGCUAGAGAACCCCAUUAAAGACAUACAACAUCAGGAGGACGGGGUUGAUUCCUGCUAGAGAACCCCAUUAAAGACAUACAACAUCAGGAGGAGGGGGGUUGAUUCCUGCUAGAGAAACCCGUAAGACAUACAGUGUUUAUACAGUUUUAUGGUUUGACAAAGCAAAUUACAAGAUAGAAUUUCACCCUUAGCUGGAACCGAAACACUUCAGUGGCCCCUGCGGUUAGUCAAAGGAGACCCCAAUAAACUGGUAACAGUGAGAUCAUAGGAGGAAUGACCCUGCCUGCUCACACCACAGAGGAUAUGUAGAUGGCUGGACCUUUAGGGUCAUAACCCGAUUUGACGCCUUGGUAGAGGUACGUCUCCUUCACACACACAGAACAAUAAGGGUCUAUAAACAAAGACAGGCAGAUAUAUUUUUUAAAGGGCUGUCAAGGAUGUCCAAUUUUAUGGGAGGAUAUUCCCAAGGUGUCUAUCUGGUCAGCAGUUUUAUUGUUCUUCUGGCAGAGGGGAUAUUCCUUUUUUAAACACACCACGUAAACACACACGUGGUAACAGAGUAUUCAUGCUGAAUUCAGUGACCUUUUGAUGUUACCAGUGGCAACAAAGGAUCUGCAGGAACUCUGAGUUCCAUAUGAGACACAAAUUCAACCACUUCAGAGAGAGAGAGACGUGUUUCACCAGUUCGGCUUCUCGCCAUCUGACCAACAUCUCAAAAGGGGUAUGAGUUGUUAAGAGUUUGAUGUACUGGUGCCCGAGCUCACCACCUUCUGUAGAGCCUUCCGGGUCGGUUGCCUUGCAGUUGCCGAACCAAGUGGUGAUGUAGCCAGUCAAGAUGCUCUCAGUGGUGCAGCCAGUCAAGAUGCUCUCAGUGGGGCAGCCAGUCAAGAUGCUCUCAGUGGUGCAGCCAGUCAAGAUGCUCUCAGUGGUGCAGCCAGUCAAGAUGCUCUCAGUGGUGCAGCCAGUCAAGAUGCUCUCAGUGGUGCAGCCAGUCAAGAUGCUCUCAGUGGGGCAGCCAGUCAAGAUGCUCUCAGUGGUGCAGCCAGUCAAGAUGCUCUCAGUGGUGCAGCCAGUCAAGAUGCUCUCAGUGGUGCAGCCAGUCAAGAUGCUCUCAGUGGUGCAGCUGUAGAACUUUUAGAGAAUCUGAGGGCCAACACCAAGAACAGAAUAUGACUUGGCCUACUGUUAGUUAUCUGGCAAUGCUCCAUCUCAUACGCUGUAGGCUUGUUUAGCUGACAACAUAUGCUUUAUUUUAUGCCAUUAUUUUAUUUUGUAGUAAGAAGAAUAUAAUUGAACUUAGCUGAAUAAAAUAGAAAUGGUAUUUUUCCAUUCUUGAGCCCGUGUGCAUAUGAAGUGUCUAUGUUUCGUGUAAAAGUGAUCAUUUUAAACGGGUCCUAUAUGCUAGACUUAGAGUUAUUUGGAAACUUUAGAUGUGACUGAUACAAACCUUAGAAUGUCUUAGAAAUCAUAACAUAUAUGGGCUGCAUGAUGUGACUAUAGUCUAUUGAUGAUUUGAGAAAGUAGCAAAAAUAAAAAGACUGUGAUCUGUUCCUUGCCUCAGGCUGCAACAGCUGUUCUCUCAUCAAGUGAUCAUAUUUUACCCCUUCAGACUAUUCUCAUUUUUAUCUUGUCUUUGCUAAUGUGUAAAAAAUAGUUUUGAUUUAGAAUGGUCCAUUAUUAAAUGGGGAGGAACCAGGGCAGGGAAAAAAUAUAUGUCCUCUGUAUCCCCUCAAUUAGCAAACGUGGCAGGUAGCCUAGUGGUUAGAGCGUUGGGCCAAUAACCAGCAGGUAGCCUAGUGGUUAGAGCGUUGGGCCAGUAACCAGCAGGUAGCCUAGUGGUUAGAGAGUUGGGCCAAUAACCAGCAGGUAGCCUAGUGGUUAGAGCGUUGGGCCAGUAACCAGCAGGUAGCCUAGUGGUUAGAGCGUUGGGCCAAUAACCAGCAGGUAGCCUAGUGGUUAGAGCGUUGGGCCAAUAACCGUAACGGUUUACCCAAGUUGACAAGAUAUAAAUCUGUCAUUCUGUCCCUGAACAGGCAGUUAACCCACUGUUCCUAGGCCGUCAUUGAAAAUAGGAACUUGUUCUUAACUGACUUGCCUGGUAGAAUAAACAUAUAUAAACAGAGACCACGCGCUUUCCCACUGGUUGGUGUUUCGAUGAUGUGUCGGAUACUUGGGUUUUAUAGAGGAGCAUCUGCUAAGAACUAAAUAUAGGAACACUUUUCACGCAAUAUAAGAACACACUCCACGCAUCGACCAUUGUUUGAGGACCAUGUU
ensembl:lncRNA